rnacentral:rRNA from 1 species
UACGGAGGGGGCUAGCGUUGUUCGGAAUUACUGGGCGUAAAGCGCACGUAGGCGGACUGUUAAGUCGGGGGUGAAAUCCUGGGGCUCAACCUCAGAAUUGCCUCCGAUACUGGCAGUCUCGAGUGCGGGAGAGGUGAGUGGAAUUCCCAGUGUAGAGGUGAAAUUCGUAGAUAUUGGGAAGAACACCAGUGGCGAAGGCGGCUCACUGGCCCGUAACUGACGCUGAGGCACGAAAGCGUGGGGAGCAAACAGG